rnacentral:rRNA from 1 species
ACAUGCUUACAACAUAGCGUUAAUGCAUCGGAUCUCAUUAGAACUCCGUAGUUAAGCGUGCUCAGGCUAGAGUAAUACUAGGAUGGGUGACCACUCGGGAAGUCCUAGUGUUUUACAUGCC